CUGCCAAUUGAAGGGAAGAGAGCUCCUCAGGUGGAGGCAGAAGUCAGUGUCCAGACCCUGGCUGAGGGAUCGGGCUGCAUUAACAAAGCCGAAUGUAGUCAGACGGCAGUCUGGCAUGCCCCACGCCAAGCUGGCAGUCAAGGAAUUCCUAACAUGUCCUCAGUAUGGGCAGAAAGGCAGGUUGAAGUUAAAAAUGGAGAGUUACUGAUGGCGGAAGGUGCUGUUGGUCAUCACUGGUCUUCACACUCAAGCCGUCUCUGAGCAGGAGGACCCAAGCCGGUCCCUAGGGCCCAACGAAUGACCUGCACUUGCCCUUCUGACCAGGGUAAAAGCAGCUCAUCGCUCUGGGUGGAACGAACGGUCUGCAACCUAAGAAUAUCCUCCAGGAAAACGGGUCCCUUGCCGCCUCGUGCCUUCCUGAAAUAAAACGGAGGCUGCUGCACCCC